rnacentral:tRNA from 1 species
GAGGGUAUAGCUCAGGGGUAGAGCACAUGCUUAGUAUGCACAAGGUCCUGGGUUCAAUCCCCAAUGCCUCCA